GUAGCAACCAAUAGCCACUUGGAUCAUCGGAUCACAUUAGAAAUCCACAUUUAAGUGUGAUCGAGCUAUAUUAGUACUGGGAUGGGUGACCGUCUAAGAAUUCCUAGUGUUUUACA
rnacentral:rRNA from 1 species